AUGGCUGAGCAGUCAGACAAGGGCAUAAAAUACUACACCCUGGGAGAGAUUAAGAAGCACAAUCACAGCAAAAGCACCUGGGUGAUCUUGCACCACAAGGUAUAUGAUGUGACCAGAUUUUUUGAUGAGCAUUUCUGUGGGGAAGAAGUCUUCAGGGAACAAGCUGUAGGUGAUGCUCCUGAAAACUGAGGAUAUCAUGCACUCUACGGAUGCUAGAGAAUUGUCCAAAACAUAUAUCAUUGGGGGGGCUUUAUCCAGAUGACAGAUCAAUCACAAAUCUUUCAGAAACCCUUUUUACUACUGUUGAUUCUCACUCUAGUUAGUGGACUAAUUGGGUGAUCCCGGCCAUCUCAGCACUCACCGUAGCCCUGAGAUAUCACCUCUACAUG
rnacentral:lncRNA from 1 species